rnacentral:rRNA from 1 species
GUCGAGCGAACAGACGAGGAGCUUGCUCCUCUGACGUUAGCGGCGGACGGGUGAGUAACACGUGGAUAACCUACCUAUAAGACUGGGAUAACUUCGGGAAACCGGAGCUAAUACCGGAUAAUAUAUUGAACCGCGUGGUUCAAUAGUGAAAGACGGUUUUGCUGUCACUUAUAGAUGGAUCCGCGCCGCAUUAGCUAGUUGGUAAGGUAACGGCUUACCAAGGCGACGAUGCGUAGCCGACCUGAGAGGGUGAUCGGCCACACUGGAACUGAGACACGGUCCAGACUCCUACGGGAGGCAGCAGUAGGGAAUCUUCCGCAAUGGGCGAAAGCCUGACGGAGCAACGCCGCGUGAGUGAUGAAGGUCUUCGGAUCGUAAAACUCUGUUAUUAGGGAAGAACAAAUGUGUAAGUAACUAUGCACGUCUUGACGGUACCUAAUCAGAAAGCCACGGCUAACUACGUGCC